CUCGGGUUGAUCCCGCCGGACCCGACUGCUAUCAGAGUGAGAUUAAGCCAUGCGAGUUAACGUAGCAAUACGUGGCGCACGGCUCAGUAACACGUAGUCAACAUGCCCAGAGGACGUGGAUAACCUCGGGAAACUGAGUCUAAACCGCGAUAAGUGAGGAUUUCUGGAAUGGUUCCUGACUAAAAUCUAUAUGGCCUCUGGAUUGGACUGCGGCCGAUCAGGCUGUUGGUGAGGUAAUGGCCCACCAAACCUGUAACCGGUACGGGCUCUGAGAGGAGGAGCCCGGAGAUGGGCACUGAGACAAGGGCCCAGGCCCUAUGGGGCGCAGCAGGCGCGAAACCUCUGCAAUAGGCGAAAGCUUGACAGGGUUACUCUGAGUGAUUUCCGUUAAGGAGAUCUUUUGGCACCUCUAAAAAUGGUGCAGAAUAAGGGGUGGGCAAGUCUGGUGUCAGCCGCCGCGGUAAUACCAGCACCCCGAGUGGUCGGGACGUUUAUUGGGCCUAAAGCAUCCGUAGCCGGUUCUACAAGUCUUCCGUUAAAUCCACCUGCUUAACAGAUGGGCUGCGGAAGAUACUAUAGAGCUAGGAGGCGGGAGAGGCAAGCGGUACUCGAUGGGUAGGGGUAAAAUCCGUUGAUCCAUUGAAGACCACCAGUGGCGAAGGCGGCUUGCCAGAACGCGCUCGACGGUGAGGGAUGAAAGCUGGGGGAGCAAACCGGAUUAGAUACCCGGGUAGUCCCAGCUGUAAACGAUGCAGACUCGGUGAUGAGUUGGCUUAUUGCUAACUCAGUGCCGCAGGGAAGCCGUUAAGUUUGCCGCCUGGGGAGUACGGUCGCAAGACUGAAACUUAAAGGAAUUUGGCGGGGAGCA
rnacentral:rRNA from 1 species